rnacentral:lncRNA from 1 species
ACAGUCAAUGGCUGAAACUACUGAGGAAAGUCAAAGAGGGUGUGACGUCACCGCUGACCCUGCAGCGGCAGCAAAGCAUCGUCCCCUGCAUCACAGACAGAGACCCUCUUCCAGACACCCCCACUGAGAAAGAGCCCUCCUCGCCUGUCUUCAGCGACAAACCCAUCAACUCCCCGCGUACCCAGUCCAGAGAGAACUCUUUCAGGAGCAGAGGUGCGUAUCAGAGAGGGGGUUUUAUAAUUCUUACAGGAGAAAACUGAGCAGCA